rnacentral:snRNA from 1 species
GUAUUCACUUCNGCAGCACAUAUAUUAAAGUUGGUACCUUACAGAGAAGAUUAGCAUGUCCCCCUGCAGGGAUGACAUUCNUGAAAGGUUCCAGGAGUUG